GAUGAAGAACGUAGCAAAAUGCGAUACUUGGUGUGAAUUGCAGAAUCCCGUGAACCAUCGAGUUUUUGAACGCAAGUUGCGCCCGAAGCCUUUUGGCCGAGGGCACGUCUGCCUGGGCGUCACGCAUCGCGUCGCCCCCCACAAUUCUCCGUAAAGGGAACGUGUGUUUUGGGGGCGGAUAUUGGUCUCCCGUGCUCAUGGCGUGGUUGGCCGGAAUAGGAGUCCUUUCGAUGGACGCACGAACUAGUGGUGGUCGUAAAAACCCUCGUCUUUUGUUUCGUGCUGUUGCUCGCAAGGUAAACUCUUUAAAAACCCCAAUGUGUCGUCUCUUGACGACGCUUCGACCGCGACCCCAGGUCAGGCGGGACUACCCGCUGAGUUUAAGCAUAUCAAUAAGCGGAGGA
rnacentral:misc_RNA from 1 species